rnacentral:lncRNA from 1 species
AUGCUCAAAAUUCUCCAAGCCAGGCUUCAGCAAUACAUGAACCGUGAACUCCCUGAUGUUCAAGCUGGUUUUAGAAAAGGCAGAGGAACCAGAGAUCAAAUUGCCAACAUCCGCUGGAUCAUGGAAAAAGCAAGAGAGUUCCAGAAAAACAUCUAUUUCUGCUUUAUUGACUAUGCCAAAGCCUUUGACUGUGUGGAUCACAAUAAACUGUGGACAAUUCUGAAAGAGACGGGAAUACCAGAUCACCUGAACUGCCUCUUGAGAAAUCUGUAUGCAGGUCAGGAAGCAACAGUUAGAACUGGACAUGGAACAACAGACUGGUUCCAAAUAGGAACAGGAGUCCAUCAAGGCUGUAUAUUGUCACCCUGCUUAUUUAACUUCUAUGCAGAGUACAUCAUGAGAAAUGCUGGGCUGAAGAAACCGCAAGCUGGAAUCAAGAUUGCCCGGAGAAAUAUCAAUAACCUCAGAUAUGCAGAUGACACCACCCUUAUGGCAGAAAGUGAAGAAGAGCUGAAAAGCCUCUUGAUGAAAGUGAAAGAGGAGAGUGAAAAAGGUGGCUUAAAGCUCAACAUUCAGAAAACGAAGAUCAUGGCAUCCGGUCCCAUGACUUUAUGGGAAAUAGAUGGAGAAACAGUGGAAACGGUGUCCGACUUUAUUUUGGGGGGCUCCAAAAUCACUGCAGAUGGUGAUUACAGCCAUGAAAUUAUAAGACGCUUACUCCUUGGAAGAAAAGUUAUGACCAACCUAGAUAGCAUAUUCAAAAGCAGAGACAUUACUUUGCCAACUAAGGUUGGUCUAGUCAAGGCUAUGGUUUUUCCUGUGGUCAUGUAUGGAUGUGAGAGUUGGACUGUGAAGAAGGCUGAGCACCGAAGAAUUGAUGUUUUUGAACUGUGGUGUUGGAGAAGACUCUUGAGAGUCCCUUGGACUGCAAGGAGAUCCAACCAGUCCAUUCUGAAGGAGAUCAGCCCUGGGUGUUCUUUGGAAGGAAUGAUGCUAAGGCUGAAACUCCAGUACUUUGGCCACCUCAUGAGAAGAGUUGACUCAUUGGAAAAGACUCUGAUGCUGGGAGGGAUUGUGGGCAGGAGGAGAAGGGGACGACCGAGGAUGAGAUGGCUGGAUGGCAUCACGGACUCGAUGGACAUGAGUCUGAGUGAACUCCGGGAGAUGGUGUUGGGCAGGGAGGCCUGGCGUGCUGUGAUUCACGGGGUCACAAAGAGUUGGACACGACUGAGCGACUGGACUGAACUGAAAGAUUCGGAAGCUCCACUGCUGGUUUUUCUCUGUUACAGACUUUGCAUUGAAUAA